UACAAUCGCCGGCUCUUAAGCAGGAACGAGGCCUGAGGCUUCAAAAGCGCAUCGCCAUCUCCUCGGCUUCGUUAUAUGAUCGGGCGCCAGCCAUGGCAAUCCUCCGCGCCGCUACGGCGAUCUCCGUCGUCUCUACGAACGGCGAGCCCAUCGAUCUGGGCGCGAGAGAAGUUUAAACGUUUGAAGCCUUGCGCCUCCUCGUUCUCGCUGAUGGCUACAGAUCCACCGAACCGACGCUGACACCUCUCUUCAGAGCAUAGUUGAUCAAGGUCCGUGCUUUGCUAACGUCACAGGAGUACCCAAGAAAAGGCCAAGCUGGCUCCACUGAACCUUUCAAAGUGCAAAAAGGAGCAAUGAUACCGAUCAAUUCCCUUCGAGGAGACACCGACUGACAAACCUGUAUAGUGGAUCUCUUCUCUUCAAAGCCAUAACUGCGGUCCAAGGACUGCUGAUUCAUCAGCUACACCUCAGAUCCCACCAGCAAUAUGAUGACAUAAGCCUUCCAAGUUAGAGAAAUCAUUAUAUCUAUUACCCUCUGACCUUAAGACUAUCAAGGGUACAUGCUGAGGACAUUAAAUCAUGGCGUCCAUACCCUACAAAAAAAAAAAAUAAUGGAGGCCGCAAGGAUCAUUUAUUAGAAUACAUUCCAACGUUAAAUGGAUGCCUUUUGUUCUCCA